rnacentral:rRNA from 1 species
UGGUAGUGUAUUGGACAACCAUGGCUUUAACGGGUAACGGAGGAUUAGGGUUCGAUUCCGGAGAGGGAGCGUGAGAAACGGCUACCACAUGUAAGGAAGGGGGCAGGGGGGUAAAUUACCCAAUCCUAAUUAGGGAGGUAGUGACAAGAAAUAACGGACUGAGCCUUAGGUUUCAGGAUUGCAAUGAGUAGAAUUUAAACCCCUUUACGAGGAUCAAUUGAAGGGCAAGUUUGGUGCCAGCACCCGCGGUAAUUCCAGUUCCAAUAGCGUAUAUUAAAGUUGUUGCAGUUAAAAAGUUGGUAGUUGGAUUUCUGGAGAGGGUUCCAAUGUCCGUUGUUUGCGUGUGCAGCGGCGCCCUUUCAUCCUUAUGUUAACUUUUAUUGGUAUUCAUUGACUGGUUUGGGGCUCAGAUAUUUUACCUUGAGAAAAUUAGAGUGUUUCAGGCAGGCUUGCGCCGGAAUACAUUAGCAUGGAAUAAUACAAUAGGACUUGGGUGUCCUUUGUUGGUUUGAGGGAUUUAAGUAAUGAUUAAUAGGGACAGUUGGGGGCAUUAGUAUUUAAUUGUCAGAGGUGAAAUUCUCGGAUUUGUUAAAGACUACACCUU